rnacentral:rRNA from 1 species
UACGGAGGGUGCGAGCGUUGUCCGGAAUCACUGGGCGUAAAGGGGCGCGUAGGUGGCGACUCAAGUCAACGGUGAAAGCUCGACGCUCAACGUCGAGUCGGCCGUCGAAACUGGGGACGCUUGAGCACUGUAGAGGCAGAUGGAAAUUCCGGGGUGUAGCGGUGGAAUGCGUAGAGAUCCGGAAAGAACACCGGUGGCGAAGGCGGUCUGCUGG